GAUAGCUAGUAUGACCCUGACAUCCGCUAAGGAAGGAUUCUUGAAAAUUCAGCCCCUAAGAGGGUAAAAUAAGGAUUUGUUUAUGUAAUCCACGCGAACGACGUCGCGGGAAUG